rnacentral:rRNA from 1 species
CUCAUCAACCCUGUGAGACAUACCUAAACGUUGCUUCGGCGGGAAUAGACGGCCCCGUGAAACGGGCCGCCCCCGCCAGAGGACCCCUAACUCUGUUUCUAUAAUGUUUCUUCUGAGUAAAACAAGCAAAUAAAUUAAAACUUUCAACAACGGAUCUCUUGGCUCUGGCAUCGAUGAAGAACGCAGCGAAAUGCGAUAAGUAAUGUGAAUUGCAGAAUUCAGUGAAUCAUCGAAUCUUUGAACGCACAUUGCGCCCGCCAGUAUUCUGGCGGGCAUGCCUGUUCGAGCGUCAUUACAACCCUCAGGCCCCCGGGCCUGGCGUUGGGGAUCGGCGGAGCCCCCCGUGGGCACACGCCGUCCCCCAAAUACAGUGGCGGUCCCGCCGCAGCUUCCAUCGCGUAGUAGCUAACACCUCGCGACUGGAGAGCGGCGCGGCCACGCCGUAAAACACCCAACUCUUCUGAAGUUGACCUCGAAUCAGGUAGGAAUACCCCUGAAAC